CCUGAACGCUGGCGGCGUGGCUAAGACAUGCAAGUCGAACGGGUGUAGCAAUACACCAGUGGCGGACGGGUGAGUAAUGUAUCGCUAACGUGCCCUGGAAUCUGAGAUAGCCAAUCGAAAGGUUGGGUAUACCAGAUGAAAUAUCCUUAUCGCAUGAUGAGGAUCUCAAAGGAGCAAUCCGGUCUGAGAGCGGGCGAUAUCGUAUCAGCUAGUUGGUGAGGUAACGGCUCACC
rnacentral:rRNA from 1 species